UGUGUUACUUAAGAUAAUAUGGAAUCUGAGAUGGUAGAGUAUGAGUUUCUUGUUCUUGAUAUCAUUGUUGCUUGGAGAAUUUAUUUCAAAAACUUCAGAAAUUCUAGCUACCAUCCUCAGUGUUUUAUAUGUCUGAUAAAACUGAAAAUAUUAAUUAUGAUUAUAAAAGCUAUCUACUCUCUAUUGAAUUUGUUCAAAAUGAGUUAGACCCUUGUUGAGAGAUUUAUCAUGCUCCAAAGAUCAAGACAUUUAUUCAGAAAGAUUCACUUUUCCGAAUUAUUAUUGCAUUAGAGGCAUGGGCUAUGCAAAAAUAGAGAUAUUUCGAGGAAAUAAAAAGGAGCAAGUGCUCGACAACCUCGCAGAAAAAUGGACAAGUGUCCGACAGUAGAAUUAGGGAUACAUCGGUAUCCACUUAAAAAAAGAGAAAAACAAAAGAGAAAAUGAUAGCCCAUGGUCCCUCUAAUAAGCAAUAUGCCAGCAAGAGUUGACAAAAAUUUUAAUUUCCAAAGUCUUUGAUCUAAGAGUAUGACAUUCCCCUCCUUGGAUCCCGUUUUGAUCAGGCAAUGAAUGCAAAGUAAGUAUGCUUGAGAAUUUUUGUAAAUUAAAACAACCUUAGUGAGAUAUAUAUAAAAGAUAAUGACUAAUCUGAGAAGAACCUAUGAGGAAAAAGGUAUGCUAACUUUCUUUUAAAAAUAUACAAAAACUCCAAGUGACAGGAUUGAGAAGAAAGGAUUUCUACUCUUAACCAUAUACUUCCCUGACUAUAGUACACAGUGAUUUUUAACACCCUGCAAUUAUAAAGAGAAUGUUUUAAAUGUUUUACCCCAAAU
rnacentral:lncRNA from 1 species